rnacentral:rRNA from 1 species
AACGAACGCUGGCGGCAUGCCUAACACAUGCAAGUCGAACGAGAUCUUCGGGUCUAGUGGCGCACGGGUGCGUAACGCGUGGGAAUCUGCCCUUUGGUUCGGAAUAACAGUUGGAAACGACUGCUAAUACCGGAUGAUGACGAAAGUCCAAAGAUUUAUCGCCAGAGGAUGAGCCCGCGUAGGAUUAGCUAGUUGGUGUGGUAAAGGCGCACCAAGGCGACGAUCCUUAGCUGGUCUGAGAGGAUGAUCAGCCACACUGGGACUGAGACACGGCCCAGACUCGUCCGGGAGGCAGCAGUGGGGAAUAUUGGACAAUGGGCGAAAGCCUGAUCCAGCAAUGCCGCGUGAGUGAUGAAGGCCUUAGGGUUGUAAAGCUCUUUUACCCGGGAUGAUAAUGACAGUACCGGGAGAAUAAGCUCCGGCUAACUCCGUGCCAGCAGCCGCGGUAA